UACGGAGGAUCCAAGCGUUUAUCCGGAAUCAUUGGGUUUAAAGGGUCCGUAGGCGGUUUGGUAAGUCAGUGGUGAAAGCCCAUCGCUCAACGGUGGAACGGCUAUUGAUACUGCCAGACUUGAAUUAUUAGGAAGUAACUAGAAUAUGUAGUGUAGCGGUGAAAUGCUUAGAGAUUACAUGGAAUACCAAUUGCGAAGGCAGGUUUACUACUAAUGGAUUGACGCUGAUGGACGAAAAGCGUGGGUAGCGAACAGG
rnacentral:rRNA from 1 species